rnacentral:rRNA from 1 species
UACGUAGGGUGCGAGCGUUAUUCGGAAUUACUGGGCGUAAAGAGUGCGCAGGCGGCCGCGCAAGUCGGGUGUGAAAUCCCCGAGCUUAACUUGGGAAUUGCGCUCGAAACUACGUGGCUGGAGUGUGGCAGAGGAAGGUGGAAUUCCACGUGUAGCGGUGAAAUGCGCAGAUAUCAGGAAGAACACCCGUGGCGAAGGCGGUUCUCUGGGACGGUACUGACGCUGAGACGCGAAAGCGUGGGGAGCGAACAGG